rnacentral:lncRNA from 10 species
UGAUGAUUCCAUUCGAUUCCAUUCGAUGAUUAAAUUCGAUUCCAUUCGAGACCAUUCGAUGAUUCCAUUCAAUUCCAUUCAAUAAUGAUUCCAUUCGGGUCCAUUCGAUGAUUCCAUUCAAGUCCAUUCGAUGAUUCCAUCUGAUUCCAUUCAAUGAAUCCAUUUGAUUCCAUUCUAUGAUGAUUCCAUUCGUUUCCAUCCAAAGAUGAUUCCAUUCGAUUCCAUUCAAUGAUUCCAUUCGAUUCCAUUUGAUGAUAAUUCCAAUCAAUUCCAUUCAAUGAUUCCAUUCGAUUCCAUUCGAUGAUGAGUCCAUCCAUUUCUAUUUCAUGAUAAUUCCAUUCGUUUCAAUUCGAAGGUGUUUCCAUUCUAUUCCAUUCGAUGUUGAUUCCAUUAGUUUCCAUUGGAUGAUGAUUCCAUUCGAGUCCAUUCAAUGAAGAUCACAUUUGAUUUCAUUCCAUAAUUCUAUUCGAUUCCAUUUGAUGAUGAUUCCAUUCGUUUCCAUCCGAUGAUGAUUCCAUUUGAUUCCAUUCGAUGACUAUUCCAUUCGAGUCCAUUUGAUGAUUCCAUUCGAUUCCAUUUGAUGAUGAUUGCAUUCGAGUCCAUGGAUUAUUCCAUUCCAUUCCAUUAGAUGAUUCCAUUCAUGUCCAU